rnacentral:rRNA from 1 species
AGAGUUUGAUCCUGGCUCAGGAUGAACGCUGGCGGCGUGCCUAACACAUGCAAGUCGAACGUUAGGGUCUAGCAAUAGACCCAAAAGUGGCGAACGGGUGAGUAACACGUAGGUAACCUGCCGCGCAGAGGGGGAUAACGACUGGAAACGGUCGCUAAUACCGCAUGGUACUAUCUUUACGGGAGUAAAGGUGGUUAAAACUUUGGUGCUGCGCGAGGGGUCUGCGUCCGAUUAGUUAGUUGGUGAGGUAAUGGCUCACCAAGACGAUGAUCGGUAGCUGGUCUGAGAGGAUGAUCAGUCACACGGGAACUGAGACACGGUCCCGACUCCUACGGGGGGCAGCAGUGAGGAAUAUCGCACAAUGGACGCAAGUCUGAUGCAGCAACGCCGCGUGGAGGAUGAAGGCCCUUGGGUCGUAAACUCCUUUUUUCAGGGAAGAGUGAGGACGGUACCUGAAGAAUAAGUCACGGCUAACUACGUGCCAGCAGCCGCGGUAAUACGUAGGUGGCAAGCGUUAUCCGGAAUUACUGGGCGUAAAGCGCACGCAGGCGGUCUUUUAAGUUUGACGUGAAAGCUCCCGGCUUAACUGGGAGAGGUCGUUGAAGACUGGGAGACUUGAGGCAAUGAGAGGGGUGUAGAAUUCCCGGUGUAGUGGUGGAAUGCGUAGAUAUCGGGGGGAAUACCAGUGGCGAAAGCGGCACCCUAGCAUUAGCCUGACGCUCAUGUCGAAAGCGUGGGGAGCGAACGGGAUUAGAUACCCUAGUAGUCC